rnacentral:rRNA from 1 species
CACGUAGGGUGCGAGCGUUGUCCGGAAUUAUUGGGCGUAAAGAGCUCGUAGGCGGCCUGUCGCGUCGGCUGUGAAAACUCAGGGCUCAACCCUGAGCCUGCAGUCGAUACGGGCAGGCUAGAGUCCGGCAGGGGAGACUGGAAUUCCUGGUGUAGCGGUGAAAUGCGCAGAUAUCAGGAGGAACACCGGUGGCGAAGGCGGGUCUCUGGGCCGGAACUGACGCUGAGGAGCGAAAGCGUGGGGAGCGAACAGGA